rnacentral:rRNA from 1 species
GACGGAGGAUGCAAGCGUUAUCCGGAAUGAUUGGGCGUAAAGCGUCCGCAGGUGGCUGUGUAAGUCUGCUGUUAAAGAAUGAGGCUCAACCUCAUAAAGGCAGUGGAAACUACAUGGCUAGAGUGCGUUCGGGGCAGAGGGAAUUCCUGGUGUAGCGGUGAAAUGCGUAGAGAUCAGGAAGAACACCGGUGGCGAAAGCGCUCUGCUAGGCCGCAACUGACACUGAGGGACGAAAGCUAGGGGAGCGAAUGGG